AUAUCAUCAGCAAAAUAUUAAAGGCAUUGGACAACCUCAGCAAAAGGGAGCUUUUGACAGAACAAGGCGACGCAAUAACCUUUGAAUCUGAGAUGGACCGGACUUACCUUGGAUCGCCCAAAGUGGAAGCAUUUCUUCACCAUGAACAGCAAAAAAACAUAUGUUAUUGGAAAAUAAAGACCUGCGGAUACGUUAUAUGAAAACCAUGGGAGAAGAAAUUGAAAACCAUGGUGGAUUUUGGGGACGAUGAGUACAAAAGCAUACUUUGUGUGGAUGGUGCCGCAAUUGAAAGACCAAUUACUUUAAAGCCAUGAGAAGGCCGACAAUGUUAACCGCUAAGUCCAGUUUCUUUUUUGAUCACUUGAACUACAGAGCAAAAGAUUCUGAUUCAGUGUCUUUUAGAAUCUCAUCCUAAAGAAUAUUACGUUUAUUCCAUUGCAUGGUCUCUGCCGACUUUUGUACUGCAACAUUGGAAAAGCAGAAUCAUCAUUUCUUCUCUACUUUCUUUACAUGCUGUUCUCAUUUUCUCAAUAGAGAAGUUUUGUAAGCCAUGAGUUCUUAGACCGGUCUUGGUGAUGUAGAGACAAAACAAAAAUGCUCUGUUUUCUAUCUAGGAAACGGCUAAUGUAUGAAAUUAUAGAUAUA